UUUCUCUGAAAUGAAUGCAAACUAGUGGGG
rnacentral:piRNA from 1 species